UCUGCUGGACACUCGGACACUCCCUGCUGUGGCCUUGGCCACGGCCUCCUGUGUGACGCUUCGCUUCCCAGCCUCUCAGAGGCACAUGGGGUGCUGGGCCUGUGAGCUCCCAGACCCCUCACUGAGCGCAGCUCUCAGGAAGGCCUGACCCCGGAGGCUGUGGGCCCCAGACCCCAGUGCGUUGCCAGUGUGUGCUCUGGUGGGAGCCCAGCGCGGGGCCAGGGAGAAGCCGGCCUCUCCGUCCCUGUCGCUGCCUCCAGCGGCCUCUCCUGUCGCGGUCGCUUCUCUCUGCAGCUGGAGCUUUGGCAGCGUGACCCUGGGCCUUGGGCCCCGGUAACCCCCUCCCCUCUGUCUCUCCAGCCUGGGGUAGAAGCAGCCUGUGGCCAGCACCACAACAGGGUCCCGGGUGCUCCGUGUCCUGUGCGUGCUGAUGGCUUCCACUGCAAGUCCCCGGAUGCCGCCUGGAGGCUCUGUCUGGCCACAGGUGCCGGACAUGCUGGGAGGUUGACGGGAGCCCCUUGUCAAUGAGGACGCAGUUGGAGAUGCGUGGCCAGCGUCCCCGCGCCCCGGUGGGCCGCCCUGAGCAUGAAGCUACACGAAAGCCGGGCAAGUCCAAACAACUGCAGACGGGCGGGGGAGGCUGCCGGACAAACACCGGGAGGGGGCAGCGUGACCUGAAGCUCCUGGUUUCCGGGCCCCCUCCACGCCGCACGGAGUUACUGCAGGCCCACAGCAAGCACACAGGAAAGCCACGCAGACGGGAUCGCGUGUCAACUGACCUCUAGCUGCCUGAGCUCAGGGACUGGAAGAAGUCUGCUCAUUUCUGAAUGAACCUUCAGUGUCACGCUGUCGCGAUUGGCCAUCCCCAGCCGAAGAACCAAACGGAUGUGAAUUCCUUGCUCUCCGCGCUCUCUUCCCUGGGCUCAGGGACCGAGCAGACUUAGGCAGCACAGGGUUGGUUCCCCGUCCCUCCGCAUCUGUGUGCGUCCGUGUGGGCCAGGACGUGUCACACGGAGAUUCCAGCUGCGGCUCCUUCUGUCCCGGCCACAGUCCUGAGUGUGACAGUCACACCGGUGUCACUGUCACAGGGCUGUGGCCAGGCAGGAAUAUGCAGAGAUUUUGCCUUGAAUUCUGGUCUGGCCCUUGAUUCUCUUUACGUGACUUUUCUCUCCUGUAAAUUUGUAAACAUUGUAUCUGGAUUUUAGGAUUCUUGUGAAUAAAAAUAAAGUAUGUUAGU